rnacentral:rRNA from 1 species
UACGGAGGAUGCAAGCGUUAUCCGGAAUUAUUGGGCGUAAAGCGUCCGUAGGUGGCUAUGUAAGUCUGCUGUCAAAGCGUGCGGCUUAACCGCAUACGGGCAGUGGAAACUAUAAAGCUAGAGUGCGAUAGGGGUCACAGGAAUUCCCAGUGUAGCGGUGAAAUGCGUAGAUAUUGGGAAGAACACCAGCGGCGAAAGCGUGUGACUGGGUCUGCACUGACACUGAGGGACGAAAGCUAGGGGAGCGAAAGGG